AAAAACAAGGUCAGAAAAAUGUGUCAAAACAGGGGGGUGCUUUUACGCGCAUUUGUAACGUUGCCUCUGAUUGCACAAAGAAUACAAAUACACCAAUGAAAAGACGGAUAACAAAACUAGAGACAAUUUUUUUCAUAGUUUGACAAAUGUGACGUCAAAUGUUGACUUUGUGAAGGUGAAAACUUCCGAAGUGUAAAAAAACAUAUUUAUGCAAAGCGCACGUCUAUAAAAAAUCUCAUAGGUAGACGAAUUAUCAAGCUUCAAUCUGCACUAUGAAUUGUAUUUUUUUAACAACGUGUUCAUGUCGAAAUAAAAAUGAAAAGGACCCCACCGUCUAUACCGGAAGUACUUUUCCCUAGCGAUCAAGUGACAGACAGAGCCUGCCAGCUGAGAUCGUGUUUGUCAGCAAGCGUGGAAAUACCGCCUUUCUACGAAAUAGGACCAGGGCUGACCAGCUGAAGAGAAGAAGCCAGACUACUUAUGUUUUGCAAAGUGACAGAGAUUGGUCGCUAUUGUUUCUUCAGAUUUUAUUAUUAUCAUGCAACUUGACCUGUAUGCUGUUUUUGUGAUAUAUUUUAAACAUUUAUACCUGCCAUAUAUUGACAGUUUGUGAUAGAGUUGAAAGAGCAGGACUGGAUAGCACUCUUUCAAAGAAAAUGUUUCUUCAUCAUAUGUUGUGCAUUGAUCUGCAUUGAUCUUUGCCAAAAUGGAUUCAUAUGACCCAGGAUCAUGAAAUAACUUGCAACUGAAACUGUAUUUGUUGGAAACUAUUUGCUUAAGUAUUUAUGAUCAUAUUCAAAAGACACCUAGACCACGGCCUCUAAUAUAAAUAUCAGAUAUGUUAUAUAAUGUUAUCAAUCCAUCAUGUAUGAGAUAUUGGAUAUGAUAUAAAAAGGCUUAGCUAAGAUUCUACAUGCUCCUUGGGCCAGGUUUUUGUUUUCAACCCUGUGAUAUAUAUUUUAUGUAUUAUGUAGGAGUUUCUAGAACCUUAUUUAUUCAUUUCGUUGUGGUACAUACGCUGUCUGUAGAAAGGAGCAAGAGGUCCCUAUUUUACUUGAUUUUACUUAUUUUGACUCCAGAGACUUUAGUUAACAUGAAACUUGCCUUGUAUGCAUGUAUUGUCAUUUUCUAGUCAUUAAUGCAUGUCAUACAUGG